rnacentral:pre_miRNA from 1 species
GACUUCAACUAAAAAAGUCAUCAACAACAAAGUUGUAUAACUCAUCAAGAUCUAUAACUUUUAUUUUGGUCAUUUAUUCAUCUGAUAAAAUGAUAGUAACAUUGUUCAUAAAAUUGACAUAUCUCUUAUCUGGUUUUAUAAACUAUAACACAUAUAUGUAAAAUUUGUUUCAUUUGAUAAAGUAAUAGUAACAUUGUUCACAAAAUUGACAUAUCUCUUAUCUGGUUUUAUAAACUAUAACACAUAUAUGUAAAAUUUGUGAACAAUGUUACUAACAUUUUAUCAGAUGAAGAAACGACCAAAAUAAAAGUUUUAGAUCUUGAUGAGUUAUUUAACUUUGUUAUUGAUAACUUUUUCACUUGAAAUC